GACGUAGGGCGCGAGCGUUGUCCGGAUUUAUUGGGCGUAAAGGGCGCGUAGGCGGCAGGCCAAGUCGGGAGUGAAAGCCCGGGGCUCAACCCCGGAAUGUCUUUCGAAACUGGCCAGCUGGAGUGCGGAAGAGGCAACUGGAAUUCCCAGUGUAGCGGUGAAAUGCGUAGAUAUUGGGAAGAACACCUGAGGCGAAGGCGGGUUGCUGGGCCGACACUGACGCUGAGGCGCGAAAGCCAGGGGAGCAAACGGG
rnacentral:rRNA from 1 species